rnacentral:rRNA from 1 species
AACGAACGCUGGCGGCAUGCCUAACACAUGCAAGUCGAACGAGCCCUUCGGGUCUCGUGGCGCACGGGUGCGUAACGCGUGGGCACCUUCCCUUAGGUUCGGCCUAACUCCCCGACUGGGGUGCUACUACCGGAUCAUGUCUUCUUACCAAAGAUUUAUCGCCUUUGGAUGGUCCCGCGUUGGAUUAGCUAGUUGUUAGGGUAAAAGCCUACUAAGGCGACGAUCCAUAGCUGGUCUGAGAGGAUGAUCAGCGACACUGGGACUGAGACACGGCCCAGACUCGUACGGGAAGAAGGAGGGGGGAAUAUUGGACAAUGGGCGAAAGCAUGAUCCAGAAAGGCCGGGUGAGUGAUGAAGGCAUGAGGGUGGUAAAGCUCUUUUAACCGGGAUGAUAAUGACAGUACCGGGAGAAUAAGCUGCGGCUAACUCCGUG